rnacentral:lncRNA from 1 species
GGAGUGCAAUGGUGCAAUCUCAGCUCACCGCAACCUCCGCCUCCCAGGUUCAAGUGAUUUUCCUGCCUCAGCCUCCCGAGUAGCUGGGAUUAUAGGUGCGUGCCACCACGCCCAGCUUAUUUUGUAUUUUUAGUAGAGAAGGGGUUUCUCCAUGUCGGUCAGGCUGGUCUCAAACUCCUGACCUUGAGAUCCGCCCACCUCGGCCUCCCAAACUGCUGAGAUUACAGGCAUGAGCCACUGUGCCUGGCCAAUUGGUUUUUAAAUAAAGGUUCAAAGACAAUUCAAUGGAGACAGAAUAGUCUCUUCGAAAAAUGGUGCUGGAAAAAUUGAGUAUUCACAUUUGAAAAAUGUACCUCAACUCAUACUUUGUACCAUUUACAAAAAUUAACCUAAAAUGCAACAUACACAUAAAAGUAAUACCUAAAAGAGCAUAUACCAUGGAAAAUAAACCCAUGGAAAGAUGCUCAACAUCAUCAGUAAGCAGAAAAACGCAAAUUAAAACCAAAAUGAGGUUCUAUUUGACACUUAUUAGAAUGACUAAACAAACAAACAAACACGUGCCACC